rnacentral:rRNA from 1 species
UACGAAGGGGGCUAGCGUUGCUCGGAAUCACUGGGCGUAAAGGGCGCGUAGGCGGCCGCCUAAGUCAGACGUGAAAUCCCUCGGCUCAACCGGGGAACUGCGUCUGAUACUGGGUGGCUUGAAUCCGGGAGAGGGAUGCGGAAUUCCAGGUGUAGCGGCGAAAUGCGUAGAUAUCUGGAGGAACACCGGUGGCGAAGGCGGCAUCCUGGACCGGCAUUGACGCUGAGGCGCGAAAGCCAGGGGAGCAAACGGG